rnacentral:lncRNA from 1 species
UUUGGAUAUGAUGAAGUAUGUAUGGAGGUUGUGAGUAGUCAAUAAGAGAUCGGUUACUCCUAAUAAGGAGAGUGAACGUCCUAUGUGAUCUCAUAGGUUGAUGAUUCUGAAAGUCUUUGGCCAAAAUAAGAUGAUAAUUAGAAAGAGACUUUUAAUAUAUCAUCAACUGAAUCAUCAUCUUCUGAUCAAGGUAUAUUUAGAUAAGUAAUUAUGCUUGA